CCUGCAGGAUGCCAGUGCACAACGCCCGCCCCGCUGCAGCCACCCCAAGCCCCUGCUGCUCACAGAAGAGGAAGCUUGUGAAUGACAAUGAGCCGCCGUACAUCAAGAAGCCACCCAACGCCUUCUUGCUCUUCUUGAAGGAGCAGAGGGCGGCUGUGGUGGCUGAGCUCGGCAUCACUGGGAGCGCGGCCGUGAACACCGUCUUGGGGGAGAGAGUCCUUGUCUACUGAGCAGCAGGCGAAGUAUUUCCAGGAGGCCAAUGUGUUGAGGCGCCAGCACGAACAGCAACACCCCCAGUGGUCCAGCAUGGACAACUAUGGCCAGAGGAGGAAGAGGAGGCGCCAGAGGAGCACAGCUCCCAGCAGCUCUGGAGGUAACACAAGACUUGUGUGGAUCACAGCAUGUGAUCAUGUGAUGAAAACAAGGUGACAUGUGACCACACUGAGUCAUAUUUGACUGGAUUAGAUCCCAGAUUGUUAGAACAUCGUUGUUGAACCACAGCGAGACACAAACUGAAGAUUUCAGAACGUUGUUUAGCACCGUGGAGGAGAAAUCAGCUGAUUUAGACUUUAAGAUGAAGGUCACAGUCAGGCUUAGAAUUAAAAUCUCUCUCCAUGCAGAAGCUG